CAGAACUAUUCACAAUAGCAAAGACAUGGAAUCAACCUGAAUGCCCAUCAAUGAUAGACUGGAUAAAGAAAAUCUGGUAUAUAUACACCACGGAAUACUAUGCAGCCAUAAAAAAGAAUGAGAUCAUGUCCUUUGCAGCAACAUGGAUGGAGCUGGAGGCCAUUAUCCUUAGAAAACUAACACAGGAACAGAAAACCAAAUGUCACGUGUUCUCACAUAUAAGUGAGAGCUAAAUGAUUUCCCUGGAACCCAUUCCUUAUACCAUGGAAGAAGCUCAUUCUAGUCCACAGAGAGAGACAUGAAGAGGCUCACAUAGAAAGGAAUGGAGAUCUCCAGCCAAGGGUCAAUAUAAAUUUCCAGAUAAGUGAAUGAAUGAGCCUUCAGAUGAUUCCAGUCCCCACCCUUUGGGUCUUUCAGAUGAGGCCUGAGACAUUAUGAUGCAAAGACAGUCUUCUCUUCUAUGUUCUGUCCAAAUCCCUUACCCAGAGAGUCGAAAAAGUGAUUCCCUGCAAUUUAAUGCAACUCUCCUUGGAAAAGAACAAGAAUAUACUCACUUCCAGAAAUGCUGAAAACGCUAAGUUCCAGUGCAUCUAGCACCAGGCCAUCAAGCUCUAGAGGAUCCUCAGUGAGAGAUAUGACCUCUCAAUAUUCAAGAGUCACUCAUCUACAGGGGACCCUAGACUGCCCAGCAGUGAGACAUGGCAGGUGAAGUCCUGCCCCUGUCUCCCUUGGACCUGACUGGAUACAGCUUUCAUGAACCCAUGGAGCCAACCCUGCCCUGACAGCUAGCAAGAGGCCAAGACCAACAGUACAACUACAAUCAGGAAUGCGACUGUUAAGAGAAGAACACCUCAAGUGAGCAUGCGCAAAAUUUUGGUAAGCCCAAGGUACUGUGUGUUGGCAACUUACUGAGAAUGCAGACAGCCCACCCCAAGGACAGAAUGGUGGGAGAAGUAACACAAGACCCUGGAAGCAUGUCGGUGUAUAAAACCCCAAAUCAAAAGGUCAAACUGCAAACUUGAUUUCUGAAGUAACUUGCUUGGCCCUCUUCCGAGUGUACUUUACUUUUUUCAUUCCUGCUCUAAAGCUUUUUAAUAACCUUUCACUUCUGCUCUAAAAUUUGCCUUGGCCUCUCCUUCUGCCUUAUGCCACUCAGUCAAAUUCUUUUUUCUGAAGAGGCAAUAAUUGACAUUGCUGCAGAACUGUAUGGAUUCACCACCAGUAACACACUUAACUUCAUAUUGCAUAAUAUUUCACUUAUUUAUUUAUUUCACUUAUUUAAUUUAUUGUCAACCUCUCUCUCCCCCCAUUAGAAUGUAAGCUUGAGUAGACCAAAAAAAUUGUCUGUGAGUACAUAGUUUUGUUCCUAGCACUUUAAAAAAUGCCUGGUACAUAGUAGAAGUUCUAUAAAAUUUUUUUAAUAAAUAUUUCUGAAUGAAUUUUUUGGAUAACUGACAAACAAUUUAGAAAUAAUUUUCAUGGUAGUAAAGAGUUUCUCACACAGAUGCUGAAUGUUGGCAUAACAGUUGCAAUUUAUGAUUUUAAAAAUAUAAUUGAACAAUUAACACUUUGUGCUGGAGUAGCCUCAUCCUUAUUCUUGCAUCUGUUGUCUACACUUCCCCAUGACCAAUCUCCUCAGUUUCCCUCUUGUUAACUUUUGGAUAGCAUCAGAAAAUCCUCCCUCUACUCUGGUUUGGGUAUAGACAUCCUCCAGGCAAAAGGCUAUUUCUGCCAGAAGUUAUCACUUUAGCUGUGGAGUAUAAGAAGCAUGAUAGGAAUAUCAGCUUUUUGCCAAGUUUCCCAAUGUCCUAGAGGAACAUGCUCACUGUUACCAAGUUAUCCACAGGGUAAAUAAAAUGUGUGAGGGCCAAAUAGAAAAGGGAAAUGGAAGCAAACCUUUACUGAAGAAGUUAGCCAAGAAUUUGUUUUCAUUAGGUACCAUUAUUUCUGAUAUUUACCAAAACUACUUGGUAUAAAUAAAUACGCUCACUCUAAGCACACUCUGUGUAAAUUAUUGUAUGGAUAAUUUAAGUAACAAUUUUUUGAAAAGAGAAAGAAAACGUCUGCUUCUCCUGUCAGUCAGAGUCCACUUUAGAUUGAUAUAACUUUCCAAAUAAUUACUGCUUUGGGGUAACUAGAGCAGCAUAAAAUUGUCUUAGUUCUUUACUAUCACUUUUUAUCUUGCUCUUAUUUUUAAAAUAGACUCAGCAAUUUUGUGCUUGAUUUUCCUUGGUAGGACCUAUUAUUAAUUACAUUUUUAUUAUUUCACUAGAAGUCACCUCCACUUUAAUCAUUAAGCCUGUGAUUAACAAAAUUUAAUCACCAGAGUGUAAUGUUUGGAGUUAAAGAACUUAGAUCUGUGAAGAAAAUUAAGUAACACAUGUCACUUCAUUGUAUUCAUGUUACUAAGUGACUAUACAAUAAGUUUUGGAAGUAUAAUAAAUUGUAUACCGUCUGAAGAUAUGCUUUUAUUGAUGUUUUGCUUUAGAAAUUGCAUGAAUCUUUGGGUAUUUCUUAUAUUGAUUUGUUAACAUUAUUGUGCUCAAGUAAUUAAAGUCAGAGUUCAACAAGUGUUUCAUCCAAAUUGCAUAAAUUGAUUCCAGGAGAUAAUUGGAAUUCUAUGGCUCCAAUUGAUACAGUGUUUACUUGAGUUUCUUAUUCUGUGCAGAGAGAUAAUUGAAUCAUGUAGCUCUCCAUGGAUUUAAUUUUAAUUUUAAUUUUUACCAAAGUAUUGUUUAUAUGCAGUUUUAAAAGGCAGAAUACUUUUGGGCUCCAAAGAAAGAAACAACAGCAACAAAAACACAAUAUCCUGCGCUAAAGUACACAAUCAUAUUUCGAACUGCAGAGGAAACCGCUUUCAAUUCUUUAACUGUUUUGAUAUGAACAUAGCUUUUCAUGACCUACUGUAUUCUACUAUUGAAGGGUUAAAUUCCCUUAAAUUUCUUGCUGAAAAAAGAUAGUUGGAGAUAAGUUUUUGAAAUCUUGAGAAUCUGAAAACAACUCUCAAAAUAUUCUGUCUUCACAGUUGAUUGGUAGAGUGGCUGGAUUUAGACUUUUCAGUCACAAAUACAUUUUUCUUAGAUUUUUUUUUUAAAGGCAUUACUCAUUAGACUUCCAGCUACUUUUGCUGCUAUGAAGAAGUCUGAUGUCAUUUUCCUUCUGGUCCUUCAUAUGCAAAAGUGAAUUAGUUUUCUCUUGAUUUGGAAUAUUUUGGGAUUUUUUAAAAUCCCUCUUGUUUUGCUGUCUCACACAUAGUGUGUUCUUUGUGCAUGUGUGUGUUUCCUCACUUAUUGUUCUGAAUAUUUGACACAUUUUUAUAUAAAAACUUAUUUUCUUUAAUUCUGGAAUUCUAUUUUUAUGUAAUUAUACUCUCUAAUUUUCUCUUUUUUCCCUGUCUGUAACUUAUGUUGGUUGACCUAGCUGUAUUAUGUAAUUUCUUAUUAUUUUUCUGUUACUCUCUAAUAGUCUUUUUCUAAUUUUCUUUAUGUGAUAUUUACUCCAAUUCAUUUUAAAAAUAUUUUGAUUCAAUGAUUUUUUUUACAUUUCCAAAUACUAUUUAUUAUCUUAAUUUUUAAAAAAGAAUAAGCUGUUAUUGUAUUAGGACAAGAUAUAUUUUUAUUUUUCUGAAUCUACUAACCAUCGAUUUUUAUUGCUAUUGAUUUAUUAUCUCUUUGUCUUUUUAAAUUUUUACUUUUUUCCUUUAGUAUUAGAAGUUGUCAAGUAUAUCUUGAUCUUUUGUUUACUGAGGUAUCUCCAGUUUCUAAAACUGUUUGGGUCAACAAAUACCUGGUGAAUUAAUAAAUGGAUGAAUAUUUGGCAAUCUUGCUUAUUUCAGAAGGAGAUACUGAAAAUCUAAAAUAAUUCCUAUGAGCAUGAGACAACCCUGCCAACAUCUCAGUUUUGCUGUGGAGUGGUCAAAAAGAGAGAGACCUGGGCCACUUCGUUUGAUGACCCUCAAACAUAAGUAUCUGUGCACUUUCGUUAGGGGAGCCUGUUCUCAAAAGUGAUCUCUAAAUCUCUGAUUUGAUGGGAGUGGGGGUAGGUAAUGCUGUCUUCUAAAAUUUAUAGCCUUAGUGAGGACAAUAUGCUAGAGGGUCUUAUUUUUCAUUAUUCAGACUUUUACUUCCAGUGUUUUCAGGAUGGUGACUCGAUCCUAAUGUACUGUACAGAAUGCAUCUCCCUAAAUACAGUGUCUCUGGUUCAGUCUCUUCAGGGGGUAAAACCCCAUUGCCUGCUGGGCUGCAGUGAGGUGGUUUGCACUACGGGUUGGGUGAGAGAGGAGAUCUAGUAAUUACACUGCUUAUUACUUCCACUUUCAACUAAUCCUUACACAGAUCUCAGUACCACUUCUCAACCUAUCCUCAGAGUAGGUUGCAAGACUUAACAUAAAAAAUUUGAGGAUGCUCAGUCAUAUGUGAAUUUCAGAUAGAGUGAUUUUGUUUCAGCAUAAGUAUAUCUCAUGCAAUAUUUAGGAUAUAGUGUUCUAAAAAAUGUUCUUUCAUUUUCAAAUGUAAUUGUGUGUCUUUUUUUUUUUUUUUUUUCUUGAGAUAGAGUCUCACUCUGUUGCCCGGGCUGGAGUGCAAUGGUUCGAUCUCAGCUCACUGUGACUUCCACCUCCCAGGUUCAAGACAUUCUCCUGUCUCAGCCUACUGAGUAGCUGGGAUUAUAGGCAUGAACAACCGUGCCCAGCCGUGUCUUCUCUUUUACCUGGCAACCCUACUAGAGGCUUUCAGAGAUAAAAAUCUGUUGGAUGACGUGCAGCUUACCCUUUCAAAGUUCCUUAAGGACCCUGGGGAAUGCAGCCAUCUGGAAUUUGCUGUCAUGCUGUGAUUUCUGCAGUAGCUUUUGUCAGGCCUCUGAGCCCAAGCUAAGCCAUCAUAUCCCCUGUGACCUGCACGUACACAUCCAAAUGGCCGGUUCCUGCCUUAACUGAUGACAUUCCACCACAAAAGAAGAGAAAAUGGCCUGUUCCUGCCUUAACUGAUGACAUUGUCUUGUGAAAUUCCUUCUCCUGGCUCAUCCUGGCUCAAAAGCUCCCCUACUGAGCACCUUGUGACCCCCACUCUGCUUGCCAGAGAACAACCCCCCUUUGACUGUAAUUUUCCUUUACCUACCCAAAUCCUAUAAAACGGCCCCAACCCAUCUCCCUUCGCUGACUCUCUUUUCAGACUCAGCCUGCCUGCACCCAGGUGAAAUAAACAGCCAUGGUGCUCACACAAAGUCUGUUUGGUGGUCUCUUCCCACAGAUGCUCAUGAAAUUUGGUGCCAUGACUCAGAUCGGGGGACCUCCCUUGGAAGAUCAAUCCCCUGUCCUCCUGCUCUUUGCUCCAUGAGAAAGGUCCGCCUACGACCUCAGGUCCUCAGACCACCCAGCCCAAGAAACAUCUCACCAUUUUCAAAUCCACAGCUGAAGACUGACGCUACCCGAUCACCU
rnacentral:lncRNA from 10 species